GCAGCAGUCGGGAAUUUUGGGCAAUGGGCGAAAGCCUGACCCAGCAACGCCGCGUGAAGGAUGAAGUAUUUCGGUAUGUAAACUUCGAAAGAAUGGGAAGAAUCAAUGACGGUACCAUUUAUAAGGUCCGGCUAACUACGUGCCAGCAGCCGCGGUAAUACGUAGGGACCAAGCGUUGUUCGGAUUUACUGGGCGUAAAGGGCGCGUAGGCGGCGUGUUAAGUCAGCUGUGAAAUCUCCGAGCUUAACUCGGAACGGUCAGCUGAUACUGAUGUGCUAGAGUGCAGAAGGGGCAAUCGGAAUUCUUGGUGUAGCGGUGAAAUGCGUAGAUAUCAAGAGGAACACCUGAGGUGAAGACGGGUUGCUGGGCUGACACUGACGCUGAGGCGCGAAAGCUAGGGUAGCAAACGGGAUUAGAUACCCCGGUAGUCCUAGCCCUAAACGAUGAAUACUUGGUGUCUGGAGUAAUUUAAUUCUCCGGGUGCCGUCGCUAACGUCUUAAGUAUCC
rnacentral:rRNA from 1 species